AUUGAACGCUGGCGGCAUGCCUUACACAUGCAAGUCGAACGGCAGCACGGGAGCAAUCCUGGUGGCGAGUGGCGAACGGGUGAGUAAUAUAUCGGAACGUGCCCAGUCGUGGGGAUAACGUAGCGAAAGCUACGCUAAUACCGCAUACGAUCUAUGGAUGAAAGCGGGGGAUCGCAAGACCUCGCGCGAUUGGAGCGGCCGAUAUCAGAUUAGGUAGUUGGUGAGGUAAAGGCUCACCAAGCCGACGAUCUGUAGCUGGUCUGAGAGGACGACCAGCCACACUGGGACUGAGACACGGCCCAGACUCCUACGGGAGGCAGCAGUGGGGGAAUUUUUGGGACAAUGGGCGCAAGCCUGAUCCAGCAAUGCCGCGUGCAGGAUGAAGGCCUCGG
rnacentral:rRNA from 1 species